AUGAACGCUGGCGGCGUGCCUAAUCCCUGCAAGUCGAGCGAACAGACGAGGAGCUUGCUCCUCUGACGUUAGCGGCGGACGGGUGAGUAACACGUGGAUAACCUACCUAUAAGACUGGGAUAACUUCGGGAAACCGGAGCUAAUACCGGAUAAUAUAUUGAACCGCAUGGUUCAAUAGUGAAAGACGGUUUUGCUGUCACUUAUAGAUGGAUCCGCGCCGCAUUAGCUAGUUGGUAAGGUAACGGCUUACCAAGGCAACGAUGCGUAGCCGACCUGAGAGGGUGAUCGGCCACCCUGGAACUGAGACACGGUCCAGACUCCUACGGGAGGCAGCAGUAGGGAAUCUUCCGCAAUGGGCGAAAGCCUGACGGAGCAACGCCGCGUGAGUGAUGAAGGUCUUCGGAUCGUAAAACUCUGUUAUUAGGGAAGAACAAAUGUGUAAGUAACUAUGCACGUCUUGACGGUACCUAAUCAGAAAGCCACGGCUAACUACGUG
rnacentral:rRNA from 1 species